rnacentral:tRNA from 1 species
GAGGGUAUAGCUCAGGGGUAGAGCACGUGCUUUGCAUGCACAAGGUCCUGGGUUCAAUCCCCAGUACCUUCG